CCUACGGGAUGCAGCAGUGAGGAAUAUUGGUCAAUGGGCGCGAGCCUGAACCAGCCAAGUAGCGUGAAGGAUGACUGCCCUACGGGUUGUAAACUUCUUUUAUCAAGGAAUAAAGUGAGGCACGUGUGCCUUUUUGUAUGUACUUUAUGAAUAAGGAUCGGCUAACUCCGUGCCAGCCGCCGCGGUAAUACGGAGGAUCCGAGCGUUAUCCGGAUUUAUUGGGUUUAACGGGAGCGUAGAUGGGUUGUUAAGUCAGUUGUGAACGUUUGCGGCUCAACCGUAAAAUUGCAAUUGAUACUGGCAGUCUGGAGUACAGUUGAGGUAGGCGGAAUUCGUGGUGUAGCGGUGAAAUGCGUAGAUAUCACGAAGAACUCCGAUUGCGAAGGCAGCUUACUAAACUGCCACUGACAUUGAUGCUCGAAAGUGUGGGUAUCAAACAGGAUUAGAUACCCGGGUAGUC
rnacentral:rRNA from 1 species